CUGCUCUCCGCCAGAAAACUACAAGUGAAAAACUUCAAACUCAAAGGACUUGGCGGUGUCCCAUAUCGACCUAGAGGAGCCUGUCCUAUAAUCGAUACUCCCCGCUCUACCUAACCUCAAUUAGCACUUCCAAGCCUAUAUACCGCCGUCGACAGUCUACCCCAUGAGGGCCCAACAGUAGACACAAUAGCCCAACCGCUAACACGUCAGGUCAAGGUGUAGCACAUGCUGAGGAAGAGAUUGGCUACAUUUUUUACAUUAAAAAACACGAAAUGCAACAUGAAACCCUGCAUGAAGGUGAAUUUAGUAGUAAGAUCUAAUGAGAGUAUUUAUCUUAACAACGCUCUGGGACGCGCACACACCGCCCGUCA
rnacentral:rRNA from 1 species